rnacentral:rRNA from 1 species
UACGGGGGGGGCUAGCGUUGUUCGGAAUUACUGGGCGUAAAGGGCGCGUAGGCGGUCUGCUCAGUUGGAUGUGAAAACUCUGGGCUUAACCCAGAGCCUGCAUUCAAUACUGACAGGCUAGAGUUCUGGAGGGGAUAGCGGAAUUCCUGGUGUAGCGGUGAAAUGCGUAGAUAUCAAGAGGAACACCUGAGGCGAAGGCGGGUUGCUAGGCUGACACUGACGCUGAGUGCGCGAAAGCCAGGGGAGCAAACGGG